AUUGAACGCUGGCGGAAUGCUUUACACAUGCAAGUCGAACGGCAGCACGGACUUCGGUCUGGUGGCGAGUGGCGAACGGGUGAGUAACAUAUCGGAACGUAUCCAAUAAUGGGGGAUAACGAGUCGAAAGAUUCGCUAAUACCGCAUACGCCCUACGGGGGAAAGCUGGGGACCUUCGGGCCUGGCGUUAAUGGAGCGGCCGAUAUCUGAUUAGCUAGUUGGUGAGGUAAAGGCUCACCAAGGCGACGAUCAGUAGCUGGUCUGAGAGGACGACCAGCCACACUGGAACUGCGACACGGUCCAGACUCCUACGGGAGGCAGCAGUGGGGAAUUUUGGACAAUGGGCGCAAGCCUGAUCCAGCCAUUCCGCGUGAGUGAAGAAGGCCUUCGGGUUGUAAAGCUCUUUCGCAAGGGAAGAAAACUUAGCCACUAACAUUGGUUGAGGUUGACGGUACCUUGAUAAGAAGCACCGGCUACUACGUGCCAGCCGCCGCCGUAA
rnacentral:rRNA from 1 species